CUGUGACUCCUACGGGAGGCAGCAGUCGGGGAAUAUUGCACAACUGGGCGCAAGCCUGAUGCAGCCAUGCCGCGUGUGUGAAGAAGGCCUUCGGGUUGUAAAGCACUUUCAGUUGUGAGGAAGGUGGUGUCGUUAAUAGCGGCAUCAUUUGACGUUAGCAACAGAAGAAGCACCGGCUAACUCCGUGCCAGCAGCCGCGGUAAUACGGAGGGUGCGAGCGUUAAUCGGAAUUACUGGGCGUAAAGCGCAUGCAGGUGGUUUGUUAAGUCAGAUGUGAAAGCCCCGGGGCUCAACCUCGGAACUGCAUUUGAAACUGGCAGACUAGAGUACUGUAGAGGGGGUAGAAUUUCAGGUGUAGCGGUGAAAUGCGUAGAGAUCUGAAGGAAUACCGGUGGCGAAGGCGGCCCCCUGGACAGAUACUGACACUCAGAUGCGAAAGCGUGGGGAGCAAACAGGAUUACGAUACCCUGGUAG
rnacentral:rRNA from 1 species